rnacentral:pre_miRNA from 1 species
AGUGCAAUUGCUGGGUUAUAUGGUAAGCGUUUCAUUUUUUAAGAAACUGCCAAACUAUUUUCCAGAGUGGCUCUACCAGUUUACAUUGCCACCAGCAAU